CUAAUUUUCGUAUGCGAUAAAUUCAUUUCAUUUUUAUUAUUAAUAUACUUAUAUUUUUUUCGCUUUAACAUAAUUUCAAUACCAUUCUUCACAAUAAAAGUGUAUCUAGAGUAAUUAAACCUUCCUAUAUACUCAAUAAUAACAUUGAAUAAUGGAGGAAGAUAUUUUCCCUCUCAAGCUCACAAGCACGUGUUCUGCCACGCCCUUGUGGAAUACUUCUUUGCUUCGGGUCACAAACCACUCUUCUGAAAUAUUAAUAGACUUGACUUAGCCGGUAAUGAUUUUGAAAUUAUUUUUCUCUCUACGAAAACAAAGUCCAGAAACGUCUCCUUAAGAAAGUAAACGCUAAUGACCUGCGCGCUUGGAGUUCAUUAAGAUUUUCGUUCUUACAUCCGUCUUCCUCCGACUAUCGUGAUUAACAUGUAGUAUAUCUUGAGUGCAUUUUAGGACAACGGAAGAACCUGAUAAGAACUGCUGCUUUCUGCUGAGCUUUUGCUGUCCACACGUAAACAGCGCGUUAGACUUGGACAUUAUGACGUUAGAGUGUAGACCAUAUAUCCGUGAGUAUAGUACUAACUAAUUAGUACAAAAUAGCACCAAUAAAACGAUUGAAAUCAAAAGCAAUAGAGAUGUGUUUUAAGUGUUAUAUAUACAUAUAUAUAUUUGCUAUUUCACGGAUACCAUGGCCGGUUUGCACUAUUUUUAAAAUGUAUUGGAAAGGGGAAGUUCUUCCUAAUUACAAAAUAAACACAUCCAAGAAUUAAAUUGCGCUUUGACCAUCUUUCCUUGAUGCUUAAACGACAGCCUUGAGGACCACAAGUUUAUUAGCCGCCUUUACGAAAAAUACUUGAGAGUUUCAACUACAGAGAAGAAGAAGAAGAAAAACAAAAAAAACAAAAAAACGCACUAAAGCCCGCGACAAAACACGUUUUUAUUUUUGUUUUCUUACUAAGAGCCUGAAAUUCGUUUUCCUCCUGUUGAGGUUUUGGUUUUCAGCACACGAUUUAUAUAGUUUAUAUUCUGAUUUAGAUAAGACUGACAGAUAAUGAGAAUAUAUAUUCCCUCGUACGUAAAUAUGUAUAAAUCAUAAGUUAACGCAUGCGCAAUGUGGAAGUUAUCUUUCCAAAGAGUGCAUUUCCUAUCACUAUGCUGCAUGGUCAAGUCGCAGGCUUGGCCAAUAAAGGGAUUCUUAAUGUAUUUGUCAUGAGUUUUUCGUUCCGGUUGGUUGUUUUGCUCGACUCGCUAUUCGUUACCCUGCUGGCAGAGUCUCCUUAGCUGUUCGUUCGUUUGCUGUCUGUUUGUUCGCUCGUUCGUUCACUCAACCGACUUUUCCUCAUUUUCUUUUGCUUGCUUGUGUUUUUCUUUGUGUGUAUUUUUUCUCUUUUAUUUGGUUGUGACUAUUUAGGUUUUUUCCUCUCCUGGUUUGCAUGUCUAAUUUGUUUCAGGCAUUAUAAACAUAUCAACUCUGCUUUCCCAUCACACUGGAGUUACCGAAUGCAAAAUGAUAAUAAAAUCCCUACAUAAAACGGAAAUUAUACUUUGGUGCAAUCUUCACAAGUGACUCAACCUUUGCGGAUAACGUAUUUCUUGCGAUAAGUAGGCUUUUACAGAUUACAGUAAUGCAACUUAUACCGACUUUCUCAACUGACUCAAACAAAGGUUAUUCCACUUACAUAAGAUAUGCAAAGCGUGCAAAACCGCUUGAACGCCAGGUCAAUCCUAGCUCACACAACCACACACUAACGAGGCUUAUCUUAGAUAUACGGAUGAGUACAACUGAGCUUCUUAAUCAUGGCUCUACGUGGGGCCUUGGUUUUUCAUAUGUAAAUUUGACUUUCGAUGUUAUCUAUAAUAUCUGGUCAAAAAUAACCAAAAUAAACUCGCGUUGUUUUAGUCAUAGAUUAUUUAUUAGCACAUUUAUCAUAAACUAGUUUGUGCUUCUCCAGA